AAAACAUCACCCCGACCGGCAGGUGGCAGCACUGCGUCAUCAAGCUCAAUUCCGACCUACAGCAUAUCCGUUGCGGCGCCCGUGCCUGUAGCUGCCUCCCCGUCUGAAAAUUGGCGCUCGCACAUCAAGGAGCCUCCGCGUUGGCAGAACGUGCCAUAUAAUUGCGAGACGUGACAUGCUGCAGUGCUUGGAACAGAGGUGCCAGCGUAUCACCACCGCCAAGCCAAGCCAAGCCAAGCCAAGCCAAGCCAAGCCAAGCCAAGCCAAGCCAAGCCAAGCCAACCCAGGCACCUGUGAUCUCUUGGGGAGCAUGGGAACAUUUCUGCUCAAAGUAAAAUCGUCCAAUGUUCAAGUGCAGAUCUGAAACAGUGUGUAAAUGCAACUGCAAGACAAAAACAAAAGUGAAAUUAAACAUCUAGAGAGAAACGUUUAACAUUUCAGCAAGUGCGGUAAUGAAAUAGUGGAAAUUACAAAGGAAAAUUAUCUUGUGCUCAAGUGCAUAUUUAAAAUACAACAUGUAAAAGAACAAAGUGAAGGUGAACUUAAAAACUUACAUACAAAUAUUCAGUAUCUCAGCAAAUGCAGUGGUGAAAUAUUAGAAGGUAGAAGAAAUGAAAAUUCCUCCACGAUGCACGUUAUCUGCGCCACCACUCUGCAACCACUUCCUCCUGCACUGGCCGGCCCACGCACCCGCACACCCGCCGCACGGCCCCGAGUAGCAGCAGCAGCAGCACCCGGGGCCUCAGAGGAGACAGUGGGGCUGGCGGUCAGGUGUACACGGGAGCAGGUGUGCCGGGAAAGGUGACGCAACAAUCACGAUAACUUUGUACCACCUCAGAGGACGUGCGUCACUACCGGCCAGGAAUGUGUGUCGGCCUUUGUGUGUGUGUGUGUGUGUGUGUGUGUGUGUGUGUGUGUGUGUACACUUAUUUGUCCUUUGCUUCACUUUUUUUGUGUCUGCAUGUGUUUGUAUUUUGUGUGUCUGUUAGAGAGAGAGAGAGAGAGAGAGAGAGAGAGAGAGAGAGAGAGAGAGAG